rnacentral:rRNA from 1 species
UCGGGAAUUUUGGGCAAUGGGCGAAAGCCUGACCCAGCAACGCCGCGUGAGGGAUGAAGUAUUUCGGUAUGUAAACCUCGAAAGAAUGGGAGGAAUAAAUGACGGUACCAUUUAUAAGCUCCGGCUAACUACGUGCCAGCAGCCGCGGUAAUACGUAGGGAGCAAGCGUUGUUCGGAUUUACUGGGCGUAAAGGGCGCGUAGGCGGCGCGGUAAGUCACUUGUGGAAUCUCUGGGCUUAACUCAGAACGGCCAAGUGAUACUGCUGUGCUAGAGUGCGGAAGAGGCAACCGGAAUUCUUGGUGUAGCGGUGAAAUGCGUAGAUAUCAAGAGGAACACCUGAGGCGAAGGCGGGUUGCUGGGCCGACACUGACGCUGAUGCGCGAAAGCCAGGG